CAGUUCCUUGUGAAAUAAGGCAGGGUACUAAGCAGUUUUUACCUUGAGAAAUCUGGAGGAAAAAAGAUAAGAUUUUAAGUCAUUUCAACUGUGUUCUUCUCCACUCUCCUCCAUGUUCAUUCUUGUAAUUAUGUUUUCCUUUCUGGCAAGCCUGUUUUGUUUUAUUAUUUUGCUAUUUUUGUUCCUGACUUUGAAGAUGUGCUUCAGAAUGCUAAAAUCCUGAUGAAUUAGGCUUGGAGAACUUGAAUGUCGUGGCUCACCUUCUACAAACUGUGUUCUUCAACUUUUAGAUCUCAGCUGAGUUCCGGAGAAGCAGGAGCUGGGACUGGUACACAGCUACCACACAGGAAGGCCAGAAGCACCCAUCCUUUAUUUAGAGAAAACCCCAAAGUGGAUUAUAUGCAUCAGUUAGGAGCUCAGGCUAAGGCAAUCCCAGUUCACCAUUCAAGACAUUUUCUACUCUUGAAAACUUCAAAGGACAUUAUGAAAAGCAAAACCUUGAGAUCCAUCUCUGCCUCAAAUCAAGCCAGGAAAAAAGGAAUAUCUGGAACAGGACUCACCAAGCCAGCAACUCCAGCCUCCAACGGGGAAAGCUGCGUGGCUCCCUGAGAAGUCUACAGACCCCUCAGAAACUGAUGCCUGUGUUCAGUUUCUGAAUGCUACGGUGGUGGGAACAAGGAAGCAAAACUGACUAUGUUUGAAAGAGUUCAGGAAGCAGAGGGAAAAUGCAGAGGGGCACAGGCCCUCGGGCAGCGGAUUACAGUCACAUUCUCAGAAAAAGAGCGAGAGCUUUGGAAGAUAAGAUGGAGGAACUACAGAGACAGCAGGAGGAGGAACUAUUCCAACUGAGUCAAGACAACUAUAUUCUUAGAGCCAAGUGAAGUAGCAUUGAAGAAUCAAACAAGAAACAAAGGUGGUUGCCUUUUGAGGAAACAUCAGCUCCUGCCACAGAGAAAAAAUAAAAUCAAAAAAAAGAAAUAGGAACAAGAGACACUUGUUCAGGGACGUCAACAGAGAGUUCCAGAAACAAGCCUGUCUACCCACUGUGGCUCCAUCCAGUUUCCUCACCACAGAAAGAUGGGCCAAAAACAGAAAAAAAGAAGGUACAAAUGUCACCAAGUCCAAACUCAUUCUGCUCACUGCACAAAAGCCAGUAAGUUAGGAGACAGGGUCUUGGGGCAAUGAACAGUUACUUUAUUUAGAAAGCCGUUCAGAAAGCUGGCAGACCAAGAAGAUGGCAGAUUAAGGUCCUGGAGAACCAUCUUCCCCAAGUCAGAAUUCAGGCUCCUUUCCUACUUGCUUGGUUGUUGCAAACUUCUUGACAUAAGAGUUCUUUGUUCUUGGAAUCCUGUGUUCUUGCAGCUGUCCACGUAGGUCAGAUCAUGGUGCCCCUGUAAACUUCCAACAAAAGAAAUGUUAUUUUGUAUUCUGCAACUUGUUAUCUUUAUGUGAAUGGAAAUGUGUUAAUGUCCUUAAAAGUCAGAGCCUUGGGAACAGGCUCUCCUCUAUAUUUCAGGCUAUUGGCAACAUUGUUCCACAAAAGGUGCAGAGAUGGCAAGACUGAGCCUAGAAAACAGAGCACAGGGUUAAAUUCAAAGGAACAGAUCUAAUAUGGAGUCGGGUUCUUUUUUAUCACACAAACAGCCCCCCUGGCCUUUCCAUCCCUGAUGUGCAAAAUCAGGACGUGGUUUUUCCUG